GCCGGGAUGGCGGAAUUGGUAGACGCGCAUGAUUCAGGGUCAUGUGCCCGCAAGGGUGUGCAGGUUCAAGUCCUGUUCCCGGCACCA
rnacentral:tRNA from 3 species